rnacentral:tRNA from 1 species
GUAGUGGUUCAGUGGUAGAAUUCUCACCUUCCACGUGGGGGAUCCAGGUUCAAUUCCCGACCAAUACA